rnacentral:rRNA from 1 species
GAUGAACGCUGGCGGCGUGCCUAAUACAUGCAAGUCGAGCGAAUGGAUUAAGAGCUUGCUCUUAUGAAGUUAGCGGCGGACGGGUGAGUAACACGUGGGUAACCUGCCCAUAAGACUGGGAUAACUCCGGGAAACCGGGGCUAAUACCGGAUAACAUUUUGAACCGCAUGGUUCGAAAUUGAAAGGCGGCUUCGGCUGUCACUUAUGGAUGGACCCGCGUCGCAUUAGCUAGUUGGUGAGGUAACGGCUCACCAAGGCAACGAUGCGUAGCCGACCUGAGAGGGUGAUCGGCCACACUGGGACUGAGACACGGCCCAGACUCCUACGGGAGGCAGCAGUAGGGAAUCUUCCGAAAUGGACGAAAGUCUGACGGAGCAACGCCGCGUGAGUGAUGAAGGCUUUCGGGUCGUAAAACUCUGUUGUUAGGGAAGAACAAGUGCUAGUUGAAUAAGCUGGUACCUUGACGGUACCUAACCAGAAAGCCACGGCUAACUACGUGCCAGCCGCCGCGGUAA